ensembl:miRNA
ACAUUGUUAAGUCUGGAGUUUUGUCUUUCAGGUGAAAAACUCCAAAACACAGACUUAACAAUGUGG